GUCUAUGGCCAUACCAUCCUGAACGCACCUGAUCUCGUCUGAUCACGGAAGCUAAGCAGCGUCGGGCCUGGUUAGUACUUAGAUGGGAGACUAUAAAUAUAUUUUAAACAGUAUUUACU
rfam:Otolemur garnettii contig012645, whole genome shotgun sequence.